rnacentral:lncRNA from 1 species
UUUCAAGCCAAAUGAUCAAUCUUAUGGCCACAUUCAUGACAUAGUUUGUUCAAAUGAUCUCAUAUUGUGCGCAAGGGUGCAUCUUGGAAUGGCAGAUAAUGUUUCCUAAGGAAGUUUUCAUUUUCUUUGGAAGAAAAAUUCAUUUUCCAUUUUUUGAGUGCCCGAAAUGUUUUUUUUUGUGAAGGACCUAUAUUAUAUUUGUUGCAAAAUUGUACCAAAUCAAAUUUCUAAAAUACUAGGACAUAUUUAAUGCACAAUUGACCAAAUGGUUGGGUGUAAAAAGUUUUGAUCCACCUCUCGUGAAAAAGACAAAUUCAUGCCGAUUCAAUUGGAAGCGGGUCAAAUUUGAACCGUAGCUACCUCGUAAUUUGCUCUUUAUUUUUUCCAAAAAUCAUUUCUAGGUACAUAAGUAUCUAUUUAAUCAGAUAAAUAUCACAAGGUCUCCAGGAUUCAACAACUAGCUAGGAACGGUCAAGCCCGCCGUUUUGACUGCAUUUUGAAACGGGCAUAAAAAAUUCAAAAAAAUCAAAAAAUUGGAAAACCUUCGCAUUGUGUCAUCAUAUAUGACCAAGUUUCUAGCAAAAAUAAUAAACAUGUAAUUCGGCAAUUAUUUUAAAAAAAGUGUUCUCAGAAACGAGCUAUCAAGUGUGAAGAUUCAUGGCUUUCAAGCCAAAUGAUCAAUCUUAUGGCCACAUUCAUGACAUAGUUUGUUCAAAUGAUCUCAUAUUGUGCACAACGGUGCAACUUGGAAUGGCAGACAAUGUUGCCUAAGGAAGUUUUCAUUUUCUUUGGAAGAAAAAUUCAUUUUCCAUUUUUCGAGUGCCCGAAAUGAGUUUUUUUGUGAAGGACCUAUAAUAUAUUUGUUGCAAAAUUGUACCAAAUCAAUUUUCUAAAAUACUAGGACAUAUUUAAUGCAUAAUUGACCAAAUGGUUGGGUGUAAAAAGUUUUGAUCCAUCUCUCGUGAAAAAGACAAAUUCCUGCCGAUUCAGUUGGAAGCGGGUCAAAUUUGAACCGUAGCUACCUCAUAGUUUGCUCUUUAUUUUUUCCAAAAAUCAUUUCUAGGUACAUAAGUAUCUAUUUAAUCAGAGAAACAUCAAAAGGUCUCCAAGAUUCAACAACUAGCUAGGAACGGUCAAGCCCGCCAUUUUGACCGCAUUUUGAAACGAGCAUAAAAAAUUCAAAAAAAUCAAAAAAUUGGAAAACCUUCGCAUUGUGUCAUCAUAUGUCACCAAGUUUCCAACCAAUAUAAUAAACUUGUAAUACGGCAAUUAUUUUAAAAAAGUGUUCUCAGAAACGAGCUAUCAAGUGUGAAGAUUCAUGGCUUUCAAGCCAAAUGAUCAAUCUUAUGCCCACAUUCAUGACAUAGUUUGUUCAAAUGAUCUCAUAUUGUGCGCAAGGGUGCAGCUUGGAAUGGCAGACAAUGUUUCCUAAGGAAGUUUUCAUUUUCUUUGGAAGAAAAAUUCAUUUUCCAUUUUUCGAGUGCCCGAAAUGAGUUUUUUUGUGAAGGACCUAUAAUAUAUUUGUUGCAAAAUUGUACCAAAUCAAUUUCCUAAAAUACUAGGACAUAUUCAAUGCACAAUUUACCAAAUGGUUGGUUGUAAAAAGUUUUGAUCCACCUCUCGUGAAAAGGACAAAUUCCCGCCGAUUCAGUCGGAAGCGGGUCAAAUUUGAACCGUAGCUACCUCGUAGUUUGCUCUUUAUUUUUUCAAAAAAUCAUUUCUAGGUACAAAAGUAUCUAUUUAAUCAGAGAAACAUCAAAAGGUCUCCAAGAUUCAACAACUAGCUUGGAAUGGUCAAGCCCGCCGUUUUGACCGCAUUUUGAAACGGGCAUAAAAAAUCAAAAAAACAAAAAAUUGGAAAACCUUCGCAUUGUGUCAUCAUAUAUGACCAAGUUUCCACCAAAUAUAAUAAACUUAUAAUACGGCAAUUAUUUUAAAAAAGUGUUCUCAGAAACAAGCUAUCAAGUGUGAAGAUUCAUGGCUUUCAAGCCAAAUGAUCAAUCUUAUGGUCACAUUAAUGACCUAGUUUGUUCAAAUGAUCUCAUAUUGUGCACAAGGGUGCAACUUGGAAUGGCAGACAAUGUUGCCUAAGGAAGUUUUCAUUUUCUUUGGAAGAAAAAUUCAUUUUCCAUUUUUCGAGUGCCCGAAAUGAGUUUUUUUGUGAAGGACCUAUAAUAUAUUUGUUGCAAAAUUGUACCAAAUCAAUUUUCUAAAAUACUAGGACAUAUUUAAUGCAUAAUUGACCAAAUGGUUGGGUGUAAAAAGUUUUGAACCACCUCUCGUGAAAAAGACAAAUUCCCGCCGAUUUAGUUGGAAGCGGGUCAAAUUCGAACCGUAGCUACCUCAUAGUUUGCUCUUUAUUUUUUCCAAAAAUCAUUUCUAGGUACAUAAGUAUCUAUUUAAUCAGAGAAAUAUCAAAAGGUCUCCAAGAUUCAACAACUAGCUAGGAACGGUCAAGCCCGGCGUUUGACCGCAUUUUGUAACGGGCAUAAAAAAUUCAAAAAAAUCAAAAAAUUGGAAAACCUUCGCAUUGUGUCAUCAUAUAUGCCCAAGUUUCUAGCAAAAAUAAUAAACUUGUAAUCCGGCAAUUAUUUUAAAAAAGUGUUCUCAGAAACGAGCUAUCAAGUGUGAAGAUUCAUGGCUUUCAAGCCAAAUGAUCAAUCUUAUGGCCACAUUCCUGACAUAGUUUGUUCAAAUGAUCUCAUAUUGUGCGCAAGGGUGCAUCUUGGAAUGGCAGAUAAUGUUUCCUAAGGAAGUUUUCAUUUUCUUUGGAAGAAAAAUUCAUUUUCCAUUUUUCGAGUGCCCGAAAUGUUUUUUUUGUGAAGGACCUAUAAUAUAUUUGUUGCAAAAUUGUACCAAAUCAAAUUUCUAAAAUACUAGGACAUAUUUAAUGCACAAUUGACCAUGGUUGGGUGUAAAAAGUUUUGAUCCACCUCUCGUGAAAAAGACAAAUUCAUGCCGAUUCAAUUGGAAGCGGGUCAAAUUUGAACCGUAGUUACCUCGUAGUUUGCUCUUUAUUUUUUUCCAAAAAUCAUUUCUAGGUACAUAAAUAUCUAUUUAAUCAGAUAAAUAUCACAAGGUCUCCAAGAUUCAACAACUAGCUAGGAACGGUCAAGCUCGCCGUUUUGACCGCAUUUUGGAACGGGCAUAAAAAAUUCAAAAAAAUCAAAAAAUUGGAAAACCUUCGCAUUGUGUCAUCAUAUAUGCCCAUGUUUCUAGCAAAAAUAAUAAACUUCUAAUCCGGCAAUUAUUUUAAAAAAGUGUUCUCAGAAACGAGCUAUCAAGUGUGAAGAUUCAUGGCUUUCAAGCCAAAUGAUCAAUCUUAUGGCCGCAUUCAUGACAUAGUUUGUUCAAAUAAUCUCAUAUUGUGCAAGAUGGUGCAUCUUGGAAUGGCAGACAAUGUUUCCUAAGGAAGUUUUCAUUUUCCUUGGAAGAAAAAUUCAUUUUCCAUAUUUCGAGUGCCCGAAAUGAGUUUUUUUGUGAAGGACCUAUAAUAUAUUUGUAGCAAAAUUGUACCAAAUCAAUUUUCUAAAAUACUAGAACAUAUUUAAUGCAUAAUUGACCAAAUGGUUGGGUGUAAAAAGUUAUGAUCCACCUCUCGUGAAAAAGACAAAUUCCUGCCGAUUUAGUUGGAAGCAGGUCAAAUUUGAACCGUAGCUACCUCAUUGUUUGCUCUUUAUUUUUUCCAAAAAUCAUUUCUAGGUACAUAAGUAUCUAUUUAAUCAAAGAAACAGCAAAAGGUCUCCAAGAUUCAACAACUAGCUAGGAACGGUCAAGCCCGCCGUUUUGAUCGCAUUUUGAAACGGGCAUAAAAAAUUCAAAAGAAUCAAAAAAGUGGAAAACCUUUGGAUUGUGUCAUCAUAUGUGACCAAGUUUCCAGAAA